rnacentral:rRNA from 1 species
GAUAUCCUGUCUGAAUAUGGGGGGACCAUCCUCCAAGGCUAAAUACUCCUGACUGACCGAUAGUGAACCAGUACCGUGAGGGAAAGGCGAAAAGAACCCCUGUGAGGGGAGUGAAAUAGAACCUGAAACCGUGUACGUACAAGCAGUAGGAGCACCUUCGUGGUGUGACUGCGUACCUUUUGUAUAAUGGGUCAGCGACUUAUAUUCAGUGGCAAGGUUAACCGUAUAGGGGAGCCGUAGCGAAAGCGAGUCUUAACUGGGCGCUCAGUCUCUGGAUAUAGACCCGAAACCGGGUGAUCUAGCCAUGGGCAGGUUGAAGGUUGAGUAACAUCAACUGGAGGACCGAACCGACUAAUGUUGAAAAAUUAGCGGAUGACUUGUGGCUAGGGGUGAAAGGCCAAUCAAACUCGGAGAUAGCUGGUUCUCCCCGAAAGCUAUUUAGGUAGCGCCUCGGACGAAUACUACUGGGGGUAGAGCACUGUUAAGGCUAGGGGGUCAUCCCGACUUACCAACCCUUUGCAAACUCCGAAUACCAGUAAGUACUAUCCGGGAGACACACGGCGGGUGCUAACGUCCGUCGUGGAGAGGGAAACAACCCAGACCGCCAGCUAAGGUCCCAAAGUAUUGCUAAGUGGGAAACGAUGUGGGAAGGCUCAGACAGCUAGGAUGUUGGCUUAGAAGCAGCCAUCAUUUAAAGAAAGCGUAAUAGCUCACUAGUCGAGUCGGCCUGCGCGGAAGAUGUAACGGGGCUAAGCAAUACACCGAAGCUGCGGCAAUGUCUUUUAGACAUUGGGUAGGGGAGCGUUCUGUAAGCCGUUGAAGGUGAAUCGUAAGGUUUGCUGGAGGUAUCAGAAGUGCGAAUGCUGACAUGAGUAACGACAAAGGGGGUGAAAAACCUCCUCGCCGGAAGACCAAGGGUUCCUGUCCAACGUUAAUCGGGGCAGGGUGAGUCGACCCCUAAGGUGAGGCCGAAAGGCGUAAUCGAUGGGAAACGGGUUAAUAUUCCCGUACUUCUGACUAUUGCGAUGGGGGGACGGAGAAGGCUAGGUGGGCCAGGCGACGGUUGUCCUGGUUCAAGUGCGUAGGCUUGAGAGUUAGGUAAAUCCGGCUCUCUCUAAGGCUGAGACACGACGUCGAGCUACUACGGUAGUGAAGUCAUUGAUGCCAUGCUUCCAGGAAAAGCCUCUAAGCUUCAGAUAGUCAGGAAUCGUACCCCAAACCGACACAGGUGGUCGGGUAGAGAAUACCAAGGCGCUUGAGAGAACUCGGGUGAAGGAACUAGGCAAAAUGGUACCGUAACUUCGGGAGAAGGUACGCUCUUGAUGGUGAAGUCCCUCGCGGAUGGAGCUGACGAGAGUCGCAGAUACCAGGUGGCUGCAACUGUUUAUUAAAAACACAGCACUGUGCAAAAUCGCAAGAUGACGUAUACGGUGUGACGCCUGCCCGGUGCCGGAAGGUUAAUUGAUGGGGUUAGCGCAAGCGAAGCUCUUGAUCGAAGCCCCGGUAAACGGCGGCCGUAACUAUAACGGUCCUAAGGUAGCGAAAUUCCUUGUCGGGUAAGUUCCGACCUGCACGAAUGGCGUAAUGAUGGCCACGCUGUCUCCACCCGAGACUCAGUGAAAUUGAAAUCGCUGUGAAGAUGCAGUGUACCCGCGGCUAGACGGAAAGACCCCGUGAACCUUUACUACAGCUUGGCACUGAACAUUGAACCUACAUGUGUAGGAUAGGUGGGAGGCUAUGAAGACGUGACGCCAGUUGCGUUGGAGCCGUCCUUGAAAUACCACCCUUGUAUGUUUGAUGUUCUAACUUAGACCCAUUAUCUGGGUUGAGGACAGUGCCUGGUGGGUAGUUUGACUGGGGCGGUCUCCUCCCAAAGAGUAACGGAGGAGCACGAAGGUGGGCUAAUCACGGUUGGACAUCGUGAGGUUAGUGCAAUGGCAUAAGCCCGCUUAACUGCGAGAAUGACGGUUCGAGCAGGUGCGAAAGCAGGUCAUAGUGAUCCGGUGGUUCUGUAUGGAAGGGCCAUCGCUCAACGGAUAAAAGGUACUCCGGGGAUAACAGGCUGAUACCGCCCAAGAGUUCAUAUCGACGGCGGUGUUUGGCACCUCGAUGUCGGCUCAUCACAUCCUGGGGCUGAAGUCGGUCCCAAGGGUAUGGCUGUUCGCCAUUUAAAGUGGUACGCGAGCUGGGUUUAGAACGUCGUGAGACAGUUCGGUCCCUAUCUGCCGUGGGCGUUGGAAGAUUGAAGGGGGCUGCUCCUAGUACGAGAGGACCGGAGUGGACGAACCUCUGGUGUUCGGGUUGUGUCGCCAGACGCAUUGCCCGGUAGCUAAGUUCGGAAUUGAUAAGCGCUGAAAGCAUCUAAGCGCGAAGCGAGCCCUGAGAUGAGUCUUCCCUGACAGUUUAACUGUCCUAAAGGGUUGUUCGAGACUAGAACGUUGAUAGGCAGGGUGUGUAAGCGUUGUGAGGCGUUGAGCUAACCUGUACUAAUUGCCCGUGAGGCUUAACCAU